rnacentral:rRNA from 1 species
AACGAACGCUGGCGGCAGGCCUAACACAUGCAAGUCGAGCGAAGCCUUCGGGCUUAGCGGCGGACGGGUGAGUAACGCGUGGGAACGUGCCCUUUGCUACGGAAUAGCUCCGGGAAACUGGGAGUAAUACCGUAUGUGCCCUUGGGGGGAAAGAUUUAUCGGCAAAGGAUCGGCCCGCGUUGGAUUAGGUAGUUGGUGGGGUAAUGGCCUACCAAGCCGACGAUCCAUAGCCGGUUUGAGAGGAUGAUCAGGCACACUGGGACUGAGACACGGCCCAGACUCCUACGGGAGGCAGCAGUGGGGAAUCUUAGACAAUGGGGGAAACCCUGAUCUAGCCAUGCCGCGUGAUCGAUGAAGGCCUUAGGGUUGUAAAGAUCUUUCAGUGGGGAAGAUAAUGACUGUACCCACAGAAGAAGCCCCGGCUAACUCCGUGCCAGCAGCCGCCGUAAGAC